GGGUUAGACCACUCCGGACUGAGCGAUCCUUAUGUGGUCGUCUCCCUUUAUCCCAAGACAAUGUUUGGCCACAACAAGCCACAGAAGACUAAGAUUAUAGAACAGACCCUUAACCCCGUGUUCAAUACCACCUUCCAGUUCCCAAACGUCCCCCGUGAGUAUUUGUCUGUGAGAGGAGCGGUUUUAUUGCUGAGUGUUUUGGACCAUGACAAGAUUGGCUCAGACGACUUUGCUGGAGAAGUUUCCAUACACCUGUCAUCUAUUACUCCAAUGGAAAUGUCAGCCACUGUGGACUCAAAGCCUGCUGUCAUGCUACCGGUUAAACGCCCCACCUCUCAAACUGAGGGGCCUUACAAAGUAUUGGUAGAGAGAAGUAGCUGGGAUAAAAUAGCCAAGUUAUUCAUCACAGAUCGAAGGCGUUUCAUUGAAAAACAGCGAAAACGAACAGAUCUCAACUCAAAAAUGGCUGGUUUCUUGUCAUUUUUCAGAGGAAGAAAAUCUUAAUUAAUGGACUAUAUAUAUAUAUAUAUAGACACUGAGUGUGUGUUUAUCUCAUACUGACUUUUACAAAACGACUGAACUCAAGUUCAUUCUAAUAAUGUGCCAAUUGAUUUGUUUUUAAUGUUAAUACAUGUACAUGUUUAUGUUUUUACAACUGAAUAUCUUUUUAUCAUCAUGUUUAUAUUGUUAAGUUUGAAGUUAAUAAAAUGUGAGUCAAAGUUC
rnacentral:misc_RNA from 1 species